rnacentral:rRNA from 1 species
UACGAGAGGCCCAAACGUUAUUCGGAAUUACUGGGCUUAAAGAGUUCGUAGGCGGCGCAGAAAGUGGGGUGUGAAAGCCCUCGGCUCAACCGAGGAAUUGCGCUCCAAACUACUGUGCUUGAGGAAGCUAGAGGUGAGCAGAACUGAUGGUGGAGCGGUGAAAUGCGUUGAUAUCGGAAGGAACGCCGGUGGCGAAAGCGACGGACUGGAUCUCUUCUGACGCUGAGGCGCGAAAGCCAGGGGAGCAAACGGG